rnacentral:rRNA from 1 species
UACGUAGGGACCAAGCGUUGUUCGGAUUUACUGGGCGUAAAGCGCGCGUAGGCGGAUCGCUAAGUCAGGGGUGAAAUCCCAGGGCUCAACCCUGGAACUGCCUUUGAUACUGACGAUCUGGAGAUCGGGAGAGGUGAGUGGAAUUCCGAGUGUAGAGGUGAAAUUCGUAGAUAUUCGGAGGAACACCAGAAGCGAAGGCGGCUCACUGGCCCGAUACUGACGCUGAGGCGCGAAAGCGUGGGGAGCAAACAGG